rnacentral:sRNA from 1 species
UAAUUGUUAGGUGAGGCUCCUAUAUGGACAUAAGCUGUUGCCGCGAAAGAAUCGAGAGACUCUUAGCAUGGUAGGACAAGAAUGAUCGAGAAGGUCAUUUUCAAAACAGCUGACAGAAAUUGUCUACGUCAUAUAGUGUCAAAGCUCAACGGUGA